UACGAAGGGGGCUAGCGUUGCUCGGAAUUACUGGGCGUAAAGCGCACGUAGGCGGCUUUCUAAGUCGGGGGUGAAAUCCUGGAGCUCAACUCCAGAACUGCCUUCGAUACUGGAGAGCUCGAGUCCGGGAGAGGUGAGUGGAACUGCGAGUGUAGAGGUGAAAUUCGUAGAUAUUCGCAAGAACACCAGUGGCGAAAGGGCGGCUCACUGGCCCGGUACUGACGCUGAGGUGCGAAAGCGUGGGGAGCAAACAGG
rnacentral:rRNA from 1 species